AUUGAACGCUGGCGGCAGGCUUAACACAUGCAAGUCGAGCGGAGUGAUGGUGCUUGCACUAUCACUUAGCGGCGGACGGGUGAGUAAUGCUUAGGAAUCUGCCAUUUAGUGGGGGACAACAUUCCGAAAGGAAUGCUAAUACCGCAUACGUCCUACGGGAGAAAGCAGGGGAUCUUCGGACCUUGCGCUAAAUGAUGAGCCUAAGUCGGAUUAGCUAGUUGGUGGGGUAAAGGCCUACCAAGGCGACGAUCUGUAGCGGGUCUGAGAGGAUGAUCCGCCACACUGGGACUGAGACACGGCACAGACUCCUACGGGAGGCAGCAGUGGGGAAUAUUGGACAAUGGGCGGAAGCCUGAUCCAGCCAUGCCGCGUGUGUGAAGAAGGCCUUUUGGUUGUAAAGCACUUUAAGCGAGGAGGAGGCUACUAGUACUAAUACUACUGGAUAGUGGACGUUACUCGCAGAAUAAGCACCGGCUAACUCUGUGCCAGCCGCCGCUGUAAUAC
rnacentral:rRNA from 1 species